rnacentral:piRNA from 1 species
UGGUGUCAAAUCUUUUGGAUAUUUUUUUCC